UAGCAUUUAUUCACCUGACUUUCAGAGAGCCAAAGAUUUCAUCUACAAAGUCAUGCUCAGUGUUUGGAAAGCAUGUUUCAAUUGUAACUUUGCUAUAGUGCAAUACAGCAAUCAGAUCAGGACAGAGCUUUCCCUUCUAGAAAAUAAGGAUCGCGUCAGAAUCUUGGAAAAGGUCAAGAAAAUACAGCAAAUGAUCGCUCAAUGACAAACACUGCCUCGGCCAUCCGUCAUGUCCUCACAGAUGUUUUCAUACCUGAGAAUGGAUCAAAAAAUAACUCAAAAAAAGUAAUAAUUGUAUUGUCUGACGGGGUGAGUACGGACCGAAUGAGACUUACUGAUGUUUUGAACAUGGCACAAAUGAAAGAUGUCAUUCGUUAUUCAAUAGGGGUGAGUGUCCUGUUUACUGCUUAUUUCAGUAUCAUUUUAGAUAAUAAAGCACUUUUUUUAAAAGCCACAUUAUCUGUUAAAAUUACAAUCGCACAUUACUGCAGUUUAUAAGGGGCCAAGCACCGAAGGUUCGUAAGCACCUGUUGUAUCCGUUGGCGUUCUUCUUUUUAUUAUUGUUCCGUUUCCGCUCUGGAAGUCUAUGGCAGCCCAUAGAACCGUAUGUGGGAAAGUUGUGAAAUUUGGCACACCGAUAGAGGCCAGUAUCAACUGUGUCCAUAGAAAAUUUGGAGUCUCUAACACAAUCCCUCUAGCGCCACCACCUGUCCAAAGUUUUACUCAUGUUUAUGCUAAUAACUUUUGAACCGUUAAGGGCUAGAAACGAAGUUUUCUCCUCUCUCUCAUUUGCAUCAUGACAAUUUGUCCGCCAUGUUGAAUUUUGUGAAAAACUUAAUUUUUCAAACUCGUCCUAGACACUUCGUUUGAUUUUCAUGAAAAUCAAAUCAGAUCAUCUUCAGUCCAUGCUGGCAAAAAGUUAUUAAUAGGUCUUUACUUUCUCACUGUUGCAGUUGGUCUGAUGCUCCCAGCCAUGCUGGCGUUACUUGUUGUGCCUUCUUUGUGCUUGGCCCCGUAAAUGCUGCUUGCAGUUUUAUUUUUAAUUUGUCCUUGUUGAUACUUCUAUAGUUUCACCAGUUUGAGUCCAAUAAAACACUCAUAUCAGCUAAAUUACUCAUAGUUUGUUAUUGUAUAGUUAAUGAUUUUUAGGGUUUAUUUAACAAAAUAAAUCAUAAAACCAGUACACUUGCAAUAACAACAUGUUAU